CUCACGCACCCAAAUUCCAAAACACACACCAAACACUAUUUCCUUCCAGCAAUACUAACAAAAAAAAUAAAAAUCGUUCAGCGACAAAAGAAAAGUUAAGUUCGGGGUUUUUAUUCGUGGUUUUUAAUUUGUGGUUCCAGUUGUGGUUUUUUCUUUGUGAAUUAAUUUUCACAAGAGGUAUAAAAGGUGAGAAUUGAAGCAAGAUUGAUUGCAAGCUAUGUGUCACCACAUUAUUGAUACUUUGGAAGGAAUUUUUACUUAUAUGUCUUUGUUUAGGAAUAAUUUUUGAUAUAUUUUAGUUAGAUUUUUUUGUCAUUGGACAUAGUUUACUUUUAUUUAAGGAGUUUGUAAUGAGAUAUUAUUCUUUAGUAUAAUUUAAGUUAUUUUUAUUA